rnacentral:lncRNA from 11 species
AUGAUGGAGGAGCUGCACAAAAGCAUAACUGUCUUGGAAAACCGUGUGGUGGAAGCUCAGCAGGAAGAAGCACUUUUCCAAAAAGAAGUACUUUCUGGAGAUGCAGGAGCUCCCGACAGUAUCCUAUGGGAGGAACGAGCAUGUGACCAGAUGAAAAGACUUCCAUACAUGGGACUAAAGAGAAUCAAUUUCAAAAACAAGUUCCUCUCUUCAAUGUGCCUUCCACGUCCAACUCUCUGGGCAGCUUGGAGCCUGCUGUGGGCAUUAGCCAAGGCUCUGCUUUUGAUGCUGCUUUUGGCUAUUGUCUCCCAUUUCAUGUAUGGCUGGUUCUUCGGCCAUCCAUGCACACAGAUCACUUCAACUCCAUUAUUCUAUAUCAAGCCCAUAAAGCAGUUGCCCCCUUUAGUUUUAUAAUGGCUGUUAAACAACUGUGAUUCGAGUCCUUUAAUAAAGUGUAAUGGUAAGCAAAGUAAACAUGUAUCCCUGUCUGAAAUGGUCAUUUGCAGGUAAGCAAUACUGUAUAGCCAAUAGUCAUUGCUGUAGACCCGCUAAAAUUGCUGGACCU